UUAGAUAAAGCCAAAUCAGAGGCUUAUCACUGUUAAUGAUAGAAUUGGUUAUUAACCUAUCUGAA
rnacentral:tRNA from 1 species